CCGAUCAGGCUUGGAAUCCUGGUCCUACCUUGUGACCUGGGCAGGCAACUUCACCUUUCUGAGCUUACCUUUGAUCACCUGUGAAAUGGGGUUGAUUAAUAGUAACUACUACAUGAGGCUGCAGGGAGGACUAAACGAAAUGAUGUAUAUUACACCUUUCCUUUGUGCGCUUAAUCGUUGGCGUCGGUUUGGACCUUGUAGGCGUUAAGUGCUGUCUCGGU
rnacentral:lncRNA from 10 species